UAUGCGUCUCUCACGCGCCCUUCUGCGA
rnacentral:sRNA from 1 species